CAUGUAAGCCAGCUCAAUGUCUAUUAGAAGCAUAACCUGAUCUUUGGUCCUGCCUUCCCUCUCACGGAUGUGAGUUGUCACAAUCCUCUCCAUCUCCUCACGCAGAUGAGGGUACUGGCUGAGCUUCUUGGUGCACUGUCUAACGGUAUUGAUUAACUCCGAAAUAACCAUGUCCACGCAUUUCAGGCAAGGCUCUUUAAUCUUCUUCACCUGCUUUUUCACAAUGGUCUCAAAGGCCAUGUCGGGUGUGAAGAGACCGGUUCUGAUACCAUGGAUGUUCUUGAUGGCAUAGCUGAUCUCCCGUCGCAGCUCCUUCUC
rnacentral:lncRNA from 1 species